rnacentral:rRNA from 1 species
UGGGGAAUUUUGGACAAUGGGCGAAAGCCUGAUCCAGCAAUGCCGCGUGUGUGAAGAGGCCUUCGGGUUGUAAAGCACUUUUGUCCGGAAAGAAAUCCUUGGCUCUAAUACAGUCGGGGGAUGACGGUACCGGAAGAAUAAGCACCGGCUAACUACGUGCCAGCAGCCGCGGUAAUACGUAGGGUGCAAGCGUUAAUCGGAAUUACUGGGCGUAAAGCGUGCGCAGGCGGUUUGCUAAGACCGAUGUGAAAUCCCCGGGCUCAACCUGGGAACUGCAUUGGUGACUGGCAGGCUAGAGUAUGGCAGAGGGGGGUAGAAUUCCACGUGUAGCAGUGAAAUGCGUAGAGAUGUGGAGGAAUACCGAUGGCGAAGGCAGCCCCCUGGGCCAAUACUGACGCUCAUGCACGAAAGCGUGGGGAGCAAAACAGGAUUAGAUACCCUGGUAGUCCACGCCCUAAAACGAUGUCAACUAGUUGUUGGGGAUUCAUUUCCUUAGUAACGUAGCUAACGCGUGAAGUUGACCGCCUGGGGAGUACGGUCGCAAGAUUAAAACUCAAAUGAAUUGACGGGGUCAUAGCUGUUUCCU